rnacentral:misc_RNA from 1 species
GAAAUGCGAUAAGUAAUGUGAAUUGCAGAAUUCAGUGAAUCAUCGAAUCUUUGAACGCAUCUUGCGCUCCUUGGUAUUCCUUGGAGCAUGCCUGUUUGAGUAUCAUGAAAUCUUCAAAGUAAAUCUUUUGUUAACUCAAUUGGUUUCUACUUUGGUAUUGGAGGUCUUUGCAGCUUCACACCUGCUCCUCUUUGUUCAUUAGCUGGAUCUCAGUGUUAUGCUUGGUUCCACUCGGCGUGAUAAGUUAUCUAACGCUGAGGACACUGUAAAAGGUGGCCAAGGUAAAUGCAGAUGAACCGCUUCUAAUAGUCCAUUGACUUGGACAAUACUUUUAUGAUCUGAUCUCAAAUCAGGUAGGACUACCCGCUGAACUUAAGC